rnacentral:rRNA from 1 species
AGUGAACGCUGGCGGUAGGCCUAACACAUGCAAGUCGAACGGCAGCACAGUAAGAGCUUGCUCUUACGGGUGGCGAGUGGCGGACGGGUGAGGAAUACAUCGGAAUCUACUUUUUCGUGGGGGAUAACGUAGGGAAACUUACGCUAAUACCGCAUACGACCUACGGGUGAAAGCAGGGGAUCUUCAGACCUUGCGCGAUUGAAUGAGCCGAUGUCGGAUUAGCUAGUUGGCGGGGUAAAGGCCCACCAAGGCGACGAUCCGUAGCUGUUCUGAGAGGAUGAUCAGCCACACUGGAACUGAGACACGGUCCAGACUCCUACGGGAGGCAGCAGUGGGGAAUAUUGGACAAAGGGCGCAAGCCUGAUCCAGCCAUACCGCGUGAGUGAAGAAGGCCUUCGGGUUGUAAAGCCCUUUUGUUGGGAAAGAAAAGCAGCAGGUGAAUACCCCGCGGUUCUGACGGUACCCAAAGAAUAAGCACCGGCUAACUUCGUG